rnacentral:rRNA from 1 species
GGCUGGUCUGCUAGUGGCUCUCGCAGUCGUUAGUUGUACCUAGUCAUCCGUACGGGAAUCCUAUUCGGCCUUCACUGGUCGGUGGGUGGAACGUACACUUUACUUUGAAAAAAUUAGAGUGUUUCAGGCAGGCAAUCGCUUGGAUACUUCAGCAUGGAAUAAUGGAAUAGGACUUUGACCUAUUUGUUGGUUUCUCGAGGUCAAAGUA